ensembl:lncRNA
AUGAGAAAUCGUGAAAAUAGAGCCCUCUCGAAAUUUGAGACAGCUUUCAGUGACCGAUCUCGCCCAAUUUUCUUGUACUUAGCUGAAAACCACUUCUCGGGGAUUAAAAACCUCAAAGGGUUCCUUGGUGUCCGAUAUGUUUGCAGUUUCUGUUUUCAAGGAUACAAUAACCCUCAUACACACAGCUGUGGUGGUUACUGUCCUGUAUGUAAUGACCCUGACUGUAAACAGAGGGUGUGGAGCCCUGUGACCUGUGAUCGUUGUAACAGAACCUGUCGUUCGUCAGAGUGUUUCGACAAGCAUAACGAGCUGAGAGAGAGAAUCCGUGGUGAGACGUAUGCUAGUAACUGCGAUAUUUACAAGAAAUGUCUUAAAUGUAACUCUACAUACAAGAAAAGAUUGACCGGGGAGAACAGAGAGCAUGUGUGUAUAAAGAGACGGUGUAAAACUUGUGGUGAGAGCCUCGCAGAUGAGUCAGAAACCGCUGGUAAUCAGGAUCGUCACCUCUGUUACAUGCAGCCUUUAAACGUAGACGAGAAACACUCGGAGAAGUUGAUUUUUUAUGACUUUGAGACAUUUGUUGAUCAGACAGGUGUGCAUAGACCAUAUCUGGUCUGUACAAAAACCUUGAGCGGUGUUGACUGCGUGGAAAAAUUCAUCGCUCAUUUCAGAAAACCUCGCUACAAAGACUCGAUCUUCAUUGCGCAUAAUUCGAAAGGAUUCGAUAGCUACCUGAUUGUUAACACCAUGGUUAAAUUAGGUAUUGAACCCUCUCUUAUUAUGAUGGGUGGUAAAAUUCUGAAGCUCAGUGAGUCGGACUAUAACCUAAAAUUCAUCGACUCUCUCUCUUUCCUCAGCAUGCGUCUCUCUGAUAUGCCGAAAGCAAUGGGGUUCGAGGAUCAGUCGAAAGGCUUUUUCCCUCACAAGUUCAGCUCCGCAGGGAGUCUGAAAUACACGGGACCGUACCCCCCACCUACUGAUUAUGGUUUUGAGCGUAUGUCGUGCCCCGAACAGGUGAAAUUUCAGGGGUGGUAUGAUUCGGUCUCUCGCGGUGUAUUCGACUUUGAGAAGGAAGCUUUGUUUUACUGCAAAAACGAUGUCCAGAUUCUCUUUGAAGGGUGCGUUAGAUUCAGAAAUCAGUUUCUGAAUGAGACAAAAGUUGACCCGUUCAGUCGGAUAACUAUAUCCUCAGCCUGUAUGAAAGUUUUUCUCACAAACUUUCUACGUCCUCGCACACUCGCCAUUCCUCCUCCUGAUGAUUACCGUCGUCAGGUCAAAAGUUACUCUCACGCUUCUAUCCAGUGGUUGGAAUAUGUGUCACACAGCCGGGGUGUUUUCAUCCAGCAUGCUCUAAACAGAGGCGAGACGCAAAUAGGUCCUUACUUUGUUGACGGGUUUGCAACAAUCGAUGAUGUGGAAUGGGUUUUUGAGUUCCAGGGUUGUUUUUUCCACGGCUGUCCGAUUUGUUUUCAGCCGCAUGAAACAUGCCCUCUGACUGGGAAGCCCUUUGAAGAGCUGUACACAGCUUCAGAGGAAAAAUUACAUCGGCUGAGAUCCGUCUACGGUCUACAGACCUGUGUGAUCUGGGAACACGAGUGGCUGGAGAUGAAAAAAUCAGAUCCGCGAGUAGGCGAGUUUCUGAAGGAAUUUGACCCUCCCGAACCUCUCUCCCCCAGACAGGCUCUGUACGGAGGCCGUACGAGUGCGCUGCGGCUGUGGUACACAGCGGGUGCUGGCGAAUCUGUGCAUUACGUGGAUGUAACUUCAUUAUAUCCGUACGUAAACAGCAGUUGCGCUUAUCCUUUAGGCCAUCCCACCGUAAUUCAUAAAGAUUUUGACGACCCUCAAAACUACUUUGGGUUAAUUCGAGCCGUCGUCAACCCCCCGCAGGGUCUCUCCCACCCGGUGUUACCUUACAAAUCUUCCAGAGGUAAACUGCUGUUCACUCUCUGUCGCACCUGUGCUGAGAUAAAUAACCAAAUGACCUUAUGCAAUCAUGAUGAAAACGCCUGUGCAUUGACGGGGGUGUGGGUCACUCCCGAAUUCAACAAAGCUCUGGAGCUCGGGUACAAAGUUGCAAAAAUCAUCGAAGUUUGGCACUUUAGCAAGCGUAGCGACUCUGUUUUUGUAGGAUACGUGCACACUUUUCUGAAGGGGAAACAGGAAGCGUCAGGCUACCCGGCAGAUGCGGUGGAUCAGGAAAGCAGGGACAGAUACAUACAGCAGUACAAACUGGAACAAGGCAUUCAGCUCGAUGCGGACAGAAUCCGGUUUAACCCGGCACUUCGCUCUGUCUGCAAACUGGCUCUGACCUGCUUCUGGGGAAAGAUGGCAGAGAGGCCUAAUCUAAAACAGACCUCGAUCGUGUCUGAUCCUGCACAGUUCUUCAGUUAUCUGUUUUCAGGAAAGUAUCAGAUCAAGUACUUUUCUUUUCUGAACAACGACGCUGCUUUGGUUCAGUGGAAUUACAACGAGAGGUGUGUUGUUCCACCCGGGAGAACCUAUAAUGUAUUUGUCGCUGCUUUCACCACAGCUUACGGACGCUUGAAGCUUUACAGUUAUCUGGAGAGAUUGCAGGAGAAGGUGCUCUAUACAGACACUGACAGCAUAGUUUACCUCCUGAAGGAUGGUGACACGCCUCUUGAGUUGGGUAAUUAUCUGGGGGAUUUAACGGAUGAACUCUCGGGUGACACCAUUUCUGAAUUUGUGGCGGCAGGUCCCAAGACUUAUGCGUAUCAGACAAAAAAUGCUAAAAAGGUGGUGAUGAGAGUGAAAGGGAUUACUCAGACUCGAGACUUUUCUGACAAAGUCAGCUUUGACAGCGCGAGGGAGCUGGUGGAGGGCUAUCUCAGAAUCCAAAGGAGUGAUUCGAUUGACAUUCCUCAGCAAAACAUCAUCAGAGACAAAAGGGGGUUUCUGCUGAAAAAUUCUUCAUUCACAAAAAAGCUUCGCAUCGUUUACGACAAACGGAAGCUCUCCCAUGAUGGCACUUCGGUACCGUUCGGUUAUUAG